GCUUUCGUGGUACAACGGUCAAGCACACUCAGCUCGUAUUUGAGAAGUCCGUGGUUCGAGUCCCGGCGAGGGCA
rnacentral:tRNA from 1 species